rnacentral:rRNA from 1 species
ACUCACAGCUCAACUGUGGGCCUGCGGUCGAUACGGGCAGACUAGAGUACUUCAGGGGAGACUGGAAUUCCUGGUGUAGCGGUGAAAUGCGCAGAUAUCAGGAGGAACACCGGUGGCGAAGGCGGGUCUCUGGGAAGUAACUGACGCUGAGAAGCGAAAGCGUGGGUAGCGAACAGGAUUAGAUACCCUGGUAGUCCACGCCGUAAACGGUGGGUACUAGGUGUGGGUUUCCUUCCACGGGAUCCGUGCCGUAGCUAACGCAUUAAGUACCCCGCCUGGGGAGUACGGCCGCAAGGCUAAAACUCAAAGGAAUUGACGGGGGCCCGCACAAGCGGCGGAGCAUGUGGAUUAAUUCGAUGCAACGCGAAGAACCUUACCUGGGUUUGACAUACACCGGAAAGCCGUAGAGAUACGGCCCCCCCUUGUGGUCGGU